rnacentral:rRNA from 1 species
GACGAACGCUGGCGGCGUGCUUAACACAUGCAAGUCGAACGGAAAGGCCCUGCUUUUGUGGGGUGCUCGAGUGGCGAACGGGUGAGUAACACGUGAGUAACCUGCCCUUGACUUUGGGAUAACUUCAGGAAACUGGGGCUAAUACCGGAUAGGAGCUCCUGCUGCAUGGUGGGGGUUGGAAAGUUUCGGCGGUUGGGGAUGGACUCGCGGCUUAUCAGCUUGUUGGUGGGGUAGUGGCUUACCAAGGCUUUGACGGGUAGCCGGCCUGAGAGGGUGACCGGCCACAUUGGGACUGAGAUACGGCCCAGACUCCUACGGGAGGCAGCAGUGGGGAAUAUUGCAAAAUGGGCGGAAGCCUGAUGCAGCAACGCCGCGGGCGGGAUGACGGCCUUCGGGUUGUAAACCGCUUUCGCCUGUGACGAAGCGUGAGUGACGGUAAUGGGUAAAGAAGCACCGGCUAACUACGUG